GGACGAGAAGGAAGGAUGGGCGGGAGAAAGGUUUAAAGGAAGAGGAGGAGACUGGAACGGGAAGGAGGAAGAGACGGGAGGCGGAGAGAGAGAAGCCGUGGCUGGUGAUGUUAAGAUUCCGCUCUGUGUGUUUACAGGGACCCAAGAACGUCAAGACCAGAAACACGAUGAGAUGUUAGACCCAGCUUCACUCAUCCCACCUACCAUGUCCACGGUAGGACACACAAGCCUGCCUGCUGUCUUCUGAUGUCUUCGACCUGUUUAACAUUGAUGCUUAAUGUUCUAAGCUCUCCACCUGGUGGUGCCAUUUCGUAAAGAUGCUGAUGUGUUAAGACUUUAGCAGUUUAAUAAAGGAUUGUUUUUCUUGUU